AUCUUCUAAGAAAAUCUGGAAAAAAAAAAGCAUUCCCGAAAACGGGUUACCCACAUUUCAAUGACAGCUAUAAACAAGCCAAGCUGAAGAAAAAUUGAAUCUGCUUUCACCAGCUAAGUUGACUAACUGUGUCCUCUAGCCCGCCUCUAUAUCAAACACAUAGUGUGUCCUUCAAACUGGGAACAGAGCUUUCAUCCUCCUGGAGCAUUAGGAUCAGCUGCUCCAGUGGGCAUGGUCAGCAGCACAAGAGUGACACAAAAAGACCUAAACCAUCUCUUUGAGGAGUCUCCCAGUUGGUGCAAAGUCUACAACCUGCUCUGUACCUCUGUGACAGGGCAUGUAAUAGAAGAAAGGGGGAAGGCCAGAUUGGGAGAGUUCUGGACCACAGUCUACAAUGCCUAGGUUUCACCUCAACCAGCUAACAUAUGUUAGGAUGACUCUUGCCCUACCCACAUGGCCAUUUUAAAACAUGUUAGUUAAAAUAUAUUAGCUAACUUCUAUCCUAGGAUAGACUAAACGAGUGCAUGUGUAAAGUAUGGUUAGACAGAAGUAAGAGGGUGUAGUUCUAAGUAAGGAGGUCUAAUAUAGUGAGGAAGUCUAAGUUUUUAUAGCAUAGGACACACAGAGUGGGGAAAGGGCCGGUCUCUAAGCUACAAUAACAUAGGCUCCUUUUAGAUACACAGAG